UGCGUAGGUGGCCUUUUAAGUUGGAUGUGAAAUACCCGGGCUUAACUUGGGGGUGGCAUCCAAACCUAGGGAGGCUAGAGUGCAGGAGAGGAAAGCGGAAUUCCUAGUGUAGCGGUGAAAUGCGUAGAUAUUAGGAGGAACACCAGUGGCGAAGGCGGCUUUCUGGACUGUAACUGACACUGAGGCACGAAAGCGUGGGGAGCAAACA
rnacentral:rRNA from 1 species